rnacentral:misc_RNA from 1 species
GAGAUAAUUAGUUAUUAAUAAUGACCACUCACAAGUUUUAUAAUGUCUAACUUUGUUUGAGAUUGCUUCUUAAGUUGUUAUCUUUGGAGAAGUUUGUAGCCUUGAGAGUUUGUUUCUGGUUGCAUGAAUAAAUGAAUGCAACUCUUAUGUAUUAGCAUGGGACUUGCAGUCAAAUAUUCAUAGUAUCAACCUCUAUGGAUUACUUGUUUCUGUAUUUACUUUGCAG